rnacentral:rRNA from 1 species
AUACGUAGGUGACAAGCGUUAUCCGGAUUUACUGGGCGUAAAGGGCGUGUAGGCGGUCUUGCAAGUCAGAAGUGAAAUUCCUGAGCUCAACUCGGGCGCUGCUUCUGAAACUGCAGGACUUGAGUGCUGGAGGGGAUAGCGGAAUUCCUAGUGGAGCGGUAAAAUGCGAAGAUAUUAGGAAGAACACCGGUGGCGGAGGCGGCUAUCUGUACAGUAACUGACGCUGAGGCGCGAAAUCGUGGGGAGCAAACAGGAUUAGAUACCCUGUUAGUCCACGCCGUAAACGAGGAAUACUAGGUGUAGGGGGUAUCGACUCCCUCUGUGCCGCAGUGAACACAAUAAGUAUUCCGCCUGGGGAGUACGGCCGCAAGGUUGAAACUCAAAUGAAUUGACGGGG